rnacentral:rRNA from 1 species
GUUAGUGAUGUCUGAGUACUAUAUAAUAGUUAAAACUUUCAACAACGGAUCUCUUGGUUCUGGCAUCGAUGAAGAACGCAGCGAAAUGCGAUAAGUAAUGUGAAUUGCAGAAUUCAGUGAAUCAUCGAAUCUUUGAACGCACAUUGCGCCCGGUGGUAUUCCGCCGGGCAUGCCUGUUCGAGCGUCAUUAUAACCAAUCAUGCCUGGCAUGGUGUUGGGGCACGCGGUCUCGCGGCCCUCAAAAUCAGUGGCGGUGCCGGUAGGCUCUAAGCGUAGUAAUUCUUCUCGCUACAGGGUCCUGCGGGUGGCUUGCCAGAACCCCCCAUUUUUUCAGGUUGACCUCGGAUCAGGUAGGGAUACCCGCUGAACUUAAGCAUAUCAAUAAGCGGAGGAAAAGAAACCAACAGGGAUUACCUCAGUAACGGCGAGUGAAGCGGUAACAGCUCAAAUUUGAAAGCUCCCCUCAGGGCGCAUUGUAAUUUGUAGAGGAUGCUUUGGGGGUCGGCCCGGUUUAAGUUCCUUGGAACAGGACGUCAUAGAGGGUGAGAAUCCCGUAUGUGACCGGUGCUAGCCUUCGUGUAAAGCUCCUUCGACGAGUCGAGUUGUUUGGGAAUGCAGCUCAAAAUGGGUGGUAUAUUUCAUCUAAAGCUAAAUAUUGGCCAGAGACCGAUAGCGCACAAGUAGAGUGAUCGAAAGAUGAAAAGCACUUUGGAAAGAGAGUUAAACAGUACGUGAAAUUGUUGAAAGGGAAGCGCUUGCAAUCAGACUUGCGGGCGGUCGAUCAUCCGA